rnacentral:misc_RNA from 1 species
GAUGAAGAACGCAGCGAAAUGCGAUAAGUAGUGUGAAUUGCAGAAUUCAGUGAAUCAUCGAAUCUUUGAACGCACAUUGCGCCCCUUGGUAUCCCGAGGGGCAUGCCUGUUCGAGCGUCAUUUCACCACUCAAGCCUGGCUUGGUGUUGGGCGACGUCCCCUUUGGGGACGCGCCUCGAAACGCUCGGCGGCGUGGCACCGGCUUUAAGCGUAGCAGAAUCUUUCGCUUUGGAAGUCGGGGCCCCGUCUGCCGGAAGACCUACUCGCAAGGUUGACCUCAGAUCAGGCAGGGAUACCCGCUGAACUUAAGCAUAUCAAUAAGCGGAGGA